GCCGGAGUGGCGGAAUUGGCAGACGCGCUGGACUCAAAAUCCAGUGCCCGCAAGGGCGUGCCGGUUCAAGUCCGGCCUCCGGUA
rnacentral:tRNA from 3 species